AUUGAACGCUGGCGGUGUGCUUAACACAUGCAAGUCGAACGAGAAAGUUUCCUUCGGGAAGCUAGUAAAGUGGCGCAAGGGUGAGUAACACGUGAAUAAUCUGCCCUCGAGAUCGGGAUAACCUGAGGAAACUUAGGCUAAUACCGGAUUAAGACCACAUUUCAUAUGGAAUGUGGGAAAAGGAGUCUCAAUCUUCACUCGAGGAUGAGUUCGCGGACCAUUAGCUUGUUGGUGAGAUAAAAGCUCACCAAGGCAACGAUGGUUAGCCGGCCUGAGAGGGCGAUCGGCCACACUGGAACUUGAGACACGGUCCAGACUCCUACGGGAGGCAGCAGUGGGGAAUAUUGCGCAAUGGGCGAAAGCCUUGACGUAGACACACCGUGUGAGCGAUG
rnacentral:rRNA from 1 species